rnacentral:rRNA from 1 species
AAUAUUGCACAAUGGUUGAAAGCCUGAUGCAGCAACGCCGCGCGAGGGAUGAAUGCCUUCGGGUCGUAAAUCCCUUUGAUCAGGGAUGAUAAUGACAGUACCUGAAAAACAAGCCACGGCUAACUCCGCGCCAGCAGCCGCGGUAAUACGUAGGUGGCGAGCGUUGUCCGGAAUUACUGGGCGUAAAGGAUGCGUAGGUGGAUACUUAAGUGGGAUGUGAAAUCCCCGGGCUCAACCCGGGAACUGCAUUCCAAACUGGGUAUCUAGAGUGCAGGAGAGGAAAGCGAAAUUCCUAGUGUAGCGGUGAAAUGCGUAGAUAUUAGGAGGAACACCAGUGGCGAAGGCGGCUUUCUGGACUGUAACUGACACUGAGGCAUGAAAGCGUGGGUAGCAAACAGG